CAGGGGUCAGGACCCCAUUAUCAGGUCAUGAAUUCGUACUCUUGAGGUCCUCUUCAGUAUGCAUCAAGGUUAUUAAAUUUCUGAAGUUGAACACAGUUCCCCCCCUGGGGAUCUGGAUCUGUUAUCCAGAUCCACUUUAGUUUGUAGUCUAGUGGUGGCAAUAAUGCACCUAAAUUAGUCUACCAGCUGCCAGUAAAAUCAAAAGGAGAAGGUCCCUUCAGAAAUUAAUCUAAAUGCUCUAAAUAUUAAAAACAAUGAUGAUAAACCAUAUGGAUUUUGGAAAUCAUAUUAUUCCAUGGAACACAAAUGGCUCCCCAGCCACACUUUGGACACUCUUGCUUUAAGAGUCCCUGGGAGGCUGGUGCCUAUCUUCAUCGGUCAUUACAUCAGAGACAGGAUACACUCUGGACGGGCUCUCGGUCUCCUGGCUGUUUCAAAAGAUGUUCUCUCUGGAGGUUGAAAGCCACAUCGCUGGCAGACAGCAUCCCAUGGGGCUGAAUGAAUAAAAAAAGAGAGAUGAUUUGAGAGGACAGACGUGCACAACAGACGCAGCACCUUGAACAUCAAAGCGCCGAUGCUGCAGCAUUGUAACGGCAUGUCUGUGCUUCCGCUGGAAGCCUGAACAUGCACACACCCCACCGCCGUGCAUGGAGCAUGUGAACAGGGGCCUGAGUGAUAGACUCCCGAGCUUUCAUCUCGCCCAGCGAGUGUAAAUAGCUGUCAUGUUUGAUUGGCGGUCUGACGCGCGCAUGAGAUUCCCUGGAACAGAGGAGCGAAAUUCAGUGAAGGCCCAACGCAUGCUGGUUCAGCUGUCUUCAAGGCUAAGAGGACGUUCUCCGCUUCUUGACCAAUGACCACUGGACCCCACGACCCAGUAAAGACACGCAGCAAUUUAGGUCCUCUGGAGAAAAGAGAGAAGAAGAGACUGCAACUGGCUAACCAUUAGCUGCUAACAAUGCUAACGUCAGAAUCUGCUUCAAAGCUUCCUGUUGCUGCUAAGCUAAAGAUUUUCCGGUCUGCGACUGCGUGCAAAAGCUGUUUGAAAAUGGAAAUUUAAUGGUUAUUGUAAUGAAUGUUGACUUAGCGGAGCAGAAAAGCAGGAGCGAGACCGUCUGAGAAGAGGGGAGUCGUCUGCUACAACAAGGCGGGGCGCUCCCCUGACUCGCAUCAUUAGAAGGUUUUUUACAAGCGACAAGCAGGCUAUUUGGCUGUCAUUGGGAUUGUUUGAAGAGAAUAUGUUUCUGCACCAUACUCCAGGGAGUCCCGGAUCAGGA